GAACUUUUAGUCUGAAGGAAAUACACCAUUUAUUGAACCCUUUUUGUGUGCCGGGAGUACACGAAGCACUUACAAACACUAUUGCAUCUAUUCUCAAAACUCUAUGAGGUGGGUAUUUUUACCUACUGAAUGAGGAAGCAGAUGUUCAGAGACUGACUUGUAUGAGUCACAUGGCUAUAGAGGCUGUGGGUGGAAGUCCAACUCUGACUAACUCCAAAGAUCUCACCAUUAGCUUCUGGGUGAAGGAAUAUUGGAAAGCCUAAAAUCAAUGGAGGAAACUUUUUUCAAUAUAUUUCAAAAAAAUUAAAUAAAUGAGUCUGUAUGGUUAGGGUGUAGUGAAAGAGGUGCCCUCGUGUUGCUAGAGUAUAAACGGAUACAUCCUUUCUGCAAAGCAAUCUGGUAAAAUAUUAGAAGCCUUAAAGUAUUUUCAUCCCCUUUACCUGGAAUUCUAUUGUUUUAACUCUACCCUAAGGAGAGAAUCAGAAAUGUGAUUAAAGAUUUAUGUACAAUUGGUGGAAUAUUUGAUAAAAAAUUGUGUGUGUGUGUGUGUGUGUGUGUGUGUGUGUUGCAGAUUAAGUGGCAAAAUCGUGGAAUGUCUGGAAUUUGCCGCAUCAUAAACUAGGAGAGGAAAAAUCGAUUGAAGCUGGAUGAUGGGUACAUAUACCAUUUAUACUCAGAAAAAAAAUUUACGGAAGACAACAGCCCCCCAUCUAUGACAGGUCCCUUAUUAUUGUCGCUGUCAGAGGUGGGUCACUGGUCUGAUCAGCCAACGGAACCAAUGUGAGCCAGUAACAGUUUGGAGUCAUAUAUUAGGACAUCACUGGCAGAGAGGAAAUCGAACUGUUAGCUUGGUCAUUUAUACCCUAUACUUCUGCAGGGCACAACCAGUUGUGUUUUUGUGAGACACUUCCAUUAUCCAGUGAUGGAAGUAUGUGAAAACAUGUAUCCAUCCAUCAUCCAGCUUCAAUCCAUUUUUCCUCUCCUAGUCUAGUUUAUUUGGGGGCAAAUUCCAGACAUUGCGUGAUUUUAUCACUUAAUCUGGAACACACACACACACACACACACACACACAAUUUUUCAUCAAAUUAACAGCUCUGCCUUAA